rnacentral:tRNA from 1 species
AUUUAGAUAGUUUAAUAAAAAAUAUUAAUUUGUGGAAUUAAGGAUGAAAUUUUUCUCUAGAUA